AACAAGGCGUACCUGCGGACCUGCGGAAGGAUCAUUAAAAAGAGUGUGUACCCCCCUGUAAAAUGGGUGGGUUACCUCCCGUCCUUUGUUGACCUCUUAGGAGGUUAUUUUGAACUUUUCUGCUUCGGUGGGGUUAAACCUACCGGAACACCCUCAAAUUCUGAUCAUUUAAAAAUUGUUCAGUCCGAAUUUUUGUUAAUAAAAACAAAAAACUUUCAACAACGGAUCUCAGAUCGGAAG
rnacentral:misc_RNA from 1 species